UAGCUACAUGUGGCAAGUUUUCAUUGGUUCGAAUGGUCUAUACAUUGACCCUGAAACAGGAUACAUGUUAUUUGGCCAUUGGCCCAAUUUUACUGCAUGGAAUUCUAAUUGGUCAACCACAGGCUAGGGUUGGGGGUUAUAAAUUGUAUAAUGUCGCUUUGUUCUGUUGAGAAUCACUGAGGACAGGGAAGAAUGAACAUCUACUUCCCAGCAUAACAUCUAUGAUUUGUUCUCUUUGAAUAAACCUAUAUUUCUCCCCCUGAUUUGCUUUGGGGUCUGUGUUAUUGAAGAAUAACAUCAACUGCUAACACAUGGUGCCGUGACCCGGAUGAAUUGGUCGUGACCAACAACAAGGAACAACUCAUGAACUGUGUGUUGAUCCUGGGGAAAGAGAGAGGGCUGAAACCCACCACGGGAGUCAACUCUUAAUCUCCUGAUUGUUGACAUAUCAUAUUCCUGGAUUAUGAGAAUCUACCGUCUGAAGCUGAAGCAAUAUCCCUUAACCCAAGGACUGUACUUGAAACGAUACAAGAUCACUGGUGAAGUGUUCAUUGGAGACGUCCUCAUCAACCAGUGGAACGGAAGAAGAAUUCCUCACUACCGGCAGACCGUCAGAAUAUAAUUUCUAAUAGUUAUCUAUGUGGGACUGAUACCAGUGUGGAAGAGCUGGUCACUUUUAAAGGACUAUGUGAAUGAUUACCUUGACAAUAGGACAAUUGAAUAUUAUUGUCUUGCAGAUAAGGGAAAGAUGUUUGAAAUGAUUUUCCUUGUGAGUUUCCUUCUAAUACAGGAUGUGUGUGGUGUUUCCAAUUCGAACACAGAGAUGCAUCAGCAGGAUGAGGGACACUCGGGCGUCAGUACGUUUCUAGCUCUUUCUCUACACUAUGCCGCAGACAAACAUGGGGUACAUGUGCUGUUAUUGGUGCCGAAUGCUGUACUUACAUUCCUGAUCAUUCUGAGGAAAUAACUGACCUAAUCCAAAAGAUCAGGACUGAGGUCGCUAAAUAUCAUGAUUACAAUCCAGAUGAUUUAGGUUCAGUCAUGUGGUUGUCUUCCACAUUUGGAACAUGGGGAAGUUUUUUGGUGAGCAUGAUACUUCCAAUAGUGGGAGUUGUGUUUAUUUUUCUUAUCCUCAUCCAGGUUAUCAAGUGUGCUAUUGCCUGAUGUUUGUCUGCUAAAAUCCGACGGUUACGUGAUAGGGGAUAUCCUACGAUUCAUCAACCGUCUUUGUUAUUAAAGAAUAACCUCAACUGCUACCACU